AUCUUUUGCUCACUGAUGUUGAAACAAGGAAGCGUCUAUUUUGGUGGAGUCAACUACUUUAUAUAUGCAGCAAAGAGUGUUCUGCUAACAAAUUCAUUAAGCAUGAAAAGUUGAUCUCCUUUCAAAAUGGUUGACAUUUAAUAAGCAAACUAUGGUUGGAAAAUAACAACACCAAGAAUGACGACAGGAUUAAUCACUCUUCCUUUUUGCAUCUUUAAAUUCAAGUGUUCCAAUAAUAUUACUUAACAGGACAACUUUAAUAAGCUAUCAAUGAAAAUAAAUAUUUUGAACCCUUCAAACUUGAUUGUAGGGUUCUUCAUGCUCAACUUCAUUAAUUUGUGUAAACUUUUUUGAAGGAUGUAUCAGAAGAGAAUUCAAGUACAUUAAAUGAUUUUGAACUUGCAUGUUUGACCCAAAUUAUUAUUAUUUUUAUUUUUUGUCCUUCAGUUAUCUGUUCAUUUUCAGCUAUGUUUUGGUCAUUAUUCCUAUUUCAGAUUUUUAGAUGUUCGUUUGCAUUUGUGUCAAAUUCAGCUUCAGUGCAAAAUAAAUCAGAAGAAUGUUCUAUCAACCAGUAUGACCAAAGUUAGAUUUAAUUCCCCCAUUUAAAUGUGGUAUAUGGUCUUGCUUAUGGUGAAGGAGGCCUUUGUCAAUCAUCAUGGUUUAUUUUAAUUAUUCUGAAUAGAUGCUAAAUUAAUUCGUGUUUGAAUGAAAUUAGUUAGCUUCCUCACAUGCAAAAAAUGCAACGUUUUAGGCUUCUCAAUUUCUAUGUUCAACCCUUAAAAGCAAGUUUUGUGGUCUCAUGACCUGUUACAGCCCAUAGCUCUGGUUCAAAAGGAUGUUGAGACUGAUAUGAAAUACCCAGUUUUGUGUGCCACCAGAGGUUGUCGUCGGCUGUUGAAUUUUAUUUGUUAGUAAAGGAUUUGAUUUGGUACUAAGAAUCUUUAUGCUGAAGCUUAUUAUCAUUGCUAGUAAAAGAUAACUUAUACCAUUCGAUAAACAACGUUAAAACAUUCUAAAAUUUUCCCAGCUAACCUGCUCUAGUUAUUUUGUUCCUCAAAAUUUCUAUUUAGGUAAGAUUGAAACAUUAAACUACUUAUUAAGGACAAUACAUAGUCACUCAACCUAUUUUGUUAAUUGUGAGAUUUUAAAAUUGCAGCAUGGAUCCCGAACACAAAAGGGAAUCAAUCGAGAAAUACCAGGGGCCUUCUCAGUCCUAAGAUUGACAUUUUUCUGGUAUUGGUGAACUUACAUGUGUCCAUUUACAUGGCAUUUCGAGAUUCUUGGAUCAUUUCUGCUCAUAUCAUAUGCUUGCUCUCGGUGCCUGGGUAGAAAGCUAAUUCACUGUUGAUUCGUCGUCUAGCUAAAGAAUAUGCAAGCUAGAAUAACUGGCCACUGCUGUACAGAACUAGGGAGCAGAGGUAGAUGUAAAAAGGCUAACUAAGAGGCCUGCUCCUCCUCGAUUUGGUCGCACCUUGACUGAAGCACAAAAGUUUACAAAUCUCAAG